GCUGGAUAUCCCUUCACUGGUAGCCUGGUAACAUACACUCCCAGGUCUUUCUCUGCCUCUGUGGUGGAUAGUGGAGUGUUUCCCAUGUGGUAUUGGUGUGCUGGAUAUCCCUUCACUGGUAGCCUGGUAACAUACACUCCCAGGUCUUUCUCUGCCUCUGUGGUGGAUAGUGGAGUGUUUCCCAUGUGGUAUUGGUGUGCUGGAUAUCCCUUCACUGGUAGCCUGGUAACAUACACUCCCAGGUCUUUCUCUGCCUCGGUGGUGGAUAGUGGAGUGUUUCCCAUGUGGUAUUGGUGUGCUGGAUAUCCCUUCACUGGUAGCCUGGUAACAUACACUCCCAGGUCUUUCUCUGCCUCUGUGGUGGAUAGUGGAGUGUUUCCCAUGUGGUAUUGGUGUGCUGGAUAUCCCUUCACUGGUAGCCUGGUAACAUACACUCCCAGGUCUUUCUCUGCCUCUGUGGUGGAUAGUGGAGUGUUUCCCAUGUGGUAUUGGUGUGCUGGAUAUCCCCUCCCAAGGUGCAGGACUUUACAUUUUUCUUCACUGAAUUGUAGCAGCCACUUUUUGUUCCAUUCCUGUAGCUUGGUGAUGUCUUCUUGUAGGAAAUCCGCAGUCAAGGGUUUGAUGAGGAGACUUGGGUAUGAAAAAUAAAAUAGAGUGACAAAAAGUAAGGAGAGGAAUAAAGCAAAAGGGAACAUAAACAAUAUCUAGUGUUCUAAACAUUUUGAUCCUCCGCCUCUUCCUUUUGAUUUUUCUUUUAUACCUCUUAAUCCUCCUCUUCCUCUUAAUCCUCUUUGGAACUUCUUAUUUCUUUUAAUCCUCUUUUGAACCUCUUAAUACACUUCCUUUUCCUCUUAAUCCUCCUCCUCUUCCUCUUAAUCCUCCUCUUCCUCUUAAUCCUCUUCUAAACUUCUUAAUACACUUCCUUUUCCUCUUAAUCCUUCUCCUCUUCCUCUUAAUCCUCCUCUUCCUCUUAAUCCUUUUCUAAACUUCUUAAUACACUUCCUUUUCCUCUUAAUCCUUCUCCUCUUCCUCUUAAUCCUCCUCUUCCUCUUAAUUCUCUUCUAAACUUCGUAAUACACAUCCUUUUCCUCUUAAUCCUCCUCUUCCUCUUAAUCUGCCUCCUCUUCCUCCUAAUCCUCUUCUAACCCUCUUAAUCCUUCUCCUCUUCCUCUUAAUCCUCUUCUAACCCUCUUAAUCCUUCUCCUCUUCCUCUUAAUCCUCUUCUAACCCUCUUAAUCCUUCUCCUCUUCCUCUUAAUCCUCUUCUAACCCUCUUAAUCCUUCUCCUCUUCCUCUUAAUCCUCUUCUAACCCUCUUAAUCCUUCUCCUCUUCCUCUUAAUCCUCUUCCUUGUCAAUCUCGUCAAAUUAACAGCUGGGUUGAAACCAAGAAAAAUACUGAAAUGCAACCACGAUUUAUACCUAACAUCACCAUCUGACCUGACCCAUUCAUAACCUGCCCUAACAACCCGAUGAAGCAACCAACAGAGGGUAACCAAGCAGCCUUACGUAACACAAACACACUAGGCGGAGUACCAAGAAGCAGAAACAAUACGAAUCUAAUAUUAAAAUCAUCCGGCAAAACCCAUUUAUAACCCUGCCUGGAGAUGUAAUGAUAUCUUACCCUGACACCCCAAUAAAGUAACCAAUAGAGGGUAACUAAGCAACCUUACCUAAUACAAACACACUAGGCGGAGUACAGGUGACUCGAUUGACGCGAGUAUUGUGUCCUUGAAGAGGUCGCGUAAAUCAAAAACAAUGUAAAUCAAACAAGAGGUAGGUUUGUACCUUUAUUGCCUACUGUAUCACUCUGACUCCUCUCCCUCUCGUGGUUCCUCCUCUGGCUGCCCUUCCCCUCGUGGUAGCACAGCAGCGAGGGUGUUGUUGUUGUUGAGUAGCGUGGCAGCGUGGGUACUGUAUUGUUGUUCAAGUGGCGCGCGGGAAGAACUGAGCUCAGCUGUGUGGCCGUGGUGCUGUGUGAGUCCAGUUGUAUGAGACAUCUGGUGGCCACUCCAUAAAAUAUCACGUAUAAGUGAA